GACGAACGCUGGCGGCGUGCUUAACACAUGCAAGUCGAACGGUGAAGCUCCAGCUUGCUGGAGUGGAUCAGUGGCGAACGGGUGAGUAACACGUGAGCAACCUGCCCCUGACUCUGGAAUAAGCGCUGGAAACGGCGUCUAAUACUGGAUACGAGAAGGGUCCGCAUGGGCACUUUCUGGAAAGUUUUUCGGUUGGGGAUGGGCUCGCGGCCUAUCAGCUUGUUGGUGAGGUAAUGGCUCACCAAGGCGACGACGGGUAGCCGGCCUGAGAGGGCGACCGGCCACACUGGGACUGAGACACGGCCCAGACUCCUACGGGAGGCAGCAGUGGGGAAUAUUGCACAAUGGGCGAAAGCCUGAUGCAGCGACGCCGCGUGAGGGAUGACGGCCUUCAGGUUGUAAACCUCUUUCAGCAGGGAAGAAGCGAAAGUGACGGUACCUGCAGAAGAAGCACCGGCUAACUACGUG
rnacentral:rRNA from 1 species